AUUGAACGCUGGCGGAAUGCUUUACACAUGCAAGUCGAGCGGCAGCGCGGGGGCAACCCUGGCGGCGAGCGGCGAACGGGUGAGUAACAUAUCGGAACGUACCCAGUCGUGGGGGAUAACUAUCCGAAAGGAUAGCUAAUACCGCAUACGACCUGAGGGUGAAAGCGGGGGACCGUAAGGCCUCGCGCGAUUGGAGCGGCCGAUAUCGGAUUAGCUAGUUGGUGAGGUAAAGGCUCACCAAGGCGACGAUCCGUAGCUGGUCUGAGAGGACGACCAGCCACACUGGAACUGAGACACGGUCCAGACUCCUACGGGAGGCAGCAGUGGGGAAUUUGGACAAUGGGGGCAACCCUGAUCCAGCCAUUCCGCGUGAGUGAAGAAGGCCU
rnacentral:rRNA from 1 species